UACGUAGGGGGCAAGCGUUGUCCGGAUUUAUUGGGCGUAAAGAGCGUGUAGGCGGUUCGGUAGGUCCGUUGUGAAAACUCGAGGCUCAACCUCGAGACGCCGAUGGAAACCAUCGAACUAGAGUUCGGAAGAGGAGAGUGGAAUUCCUGGUGUAGCGGUGAAAUGCGCAGAUAUCAGGAAGAACACCCGUGGCGAAGGCGGCUCUCUGGGACGGUACUGACGCUGAGACGCGAAAGCGUGGGGAGCGAACAGG
rnacentral:rRNA from 1 species